AGAAGUCACUAUAGCAUUAAAACACAGCAGGGUGGGAGAAAUAAAAGGAAAACAAUAAAAACAAUGGCCCUUAAAAACCCAAGAGAAUGCCUCCUUUGGAAGUGUGUACUUUCUUAUUCAGAAAAGGUAUCACCUUAAUAAGAAUUAUAGGCAAAGAGGUUUCACUGUUCCAUGCUGUGUGGACGAAAAGAGGGAGAAAAGACUGACUUAUCAAAGGCACUGGCAGUUAUGAAAGACCUGAAGCAUACUCCAGUGAUCAGUUAGUGGAGAAUUAACUUCUGGAACAGUCUCAAAGAUUUUUCUUGAAAAAGUUUGACAAAAUAUUUUCCUUCUCAUGAUUUUGUCAUAAUUUGUUCAUCGGAUGAGAAUGGCAAGAAAGGGAAGUGAGAUGGGUAUUUCAGCUAUCUUCUGGAGAUCAUCAAGCACAUGCCUUGUAAAAGAAGUCUUUUCAUUAUGUCAGCAAAGAAAUCUGCAAGAAAGAAAGUUACCUUUGACAGAGAUUUUAUGUCAGAACUUUGUAUUAACAUAUUGAAGCAUGGAUUCAGAAAAAAAAGAAAAGAAAAAUCAGCCCAAGCUGCAAUCAUUGGAUUGCUGAGGAAGUUCUGGAAACUGAGCAGAGAGAAGACCUUCCAUGUCAGCAGGCACCUACCUGGAGCCAGAGUUAGAGUUAGACCCAACACCAUAGGC
ensembl:lncRNA